rnacentral:rRNA from 1 species
AACGAACGCUGGCGGCAGGCCUAACACAUGCAAGUCGAACGAGAAGCUUGGCUUCGGCCAAGUGGAAAGUGGCAGACGGGUGAGUAACGCGUGGGAAUCUACCCAGUGGUGGGGAAUAACUCAGGGAAACUUGUGCUAAUACCCCAUACUCCCUUCGGGGGAAAGAUUUAUCGCCAUUGGAUGAGCCCGCGUCGGAUUAGCUUGUUGGUGAGGUAAAAGCUCACCAAGGCGACGAUCCGUAGCUGGUCUGAGAGGACGAUCAGCCACACUGGAACUGAGACACGGUCCAGACUCCUACGGGAGGCAGCAGUGGGGAAUCUUGCACAAUGGGCGCAAGCCUGAUGCAGCCAUGCCGCGUGAGUGAUGAAGGCCCUAGGGUUGUAAAGCUCUUUCACCCGUGAAGAUAAUGACGGUAGCGGGACAAGAAGCCCCGGCUAACUCCGUG